rnacentral:rRNA from 1 species
GAUGAACGCUGGCGGCGUGCCUAAUACAUGCAAGUCGAGCGAACAGACGAGGAGCUUGCUCCUCUGACGUUAGCGGCGGGCGGGUGAGUAACACGUGGAUAACCUACCUAUAAGACUGGGAUAACUUCGGGAAACCGGAGCUAAUACCGGAUAAUAUAUUGAACCGCAUGGUUCAAUAGUGAAAGACGGUUUUGCUGUCACUUAUAGAUGGAUCCGCGCCGCAUUAGCUAGUUGGUAAGGUAACGGCUUACCAAGGCAACGAUGCGUAGCCGACCUGAGAGGGUGAUCGGCCACACUGGAACUGAGACACGGUCCAGACUCCUACGGGAGGCAGCAGUAGGGAAUCUUCCGCAAUGGGCGAAAGCCUGACGGAGCAACGCCGCGUGAGUGAUGAAGGUCUUCGGAUCGUAAAACUCUGUUAUUAGGGAAGAACAAAUGUGUAAGUAACUAUGCACGUCUUGACGGUACCUAAUCAGAAGGCCACGGCUAACUACGUG